AAUCUUAAUCUGUGGGAUUUUACUACGGACCAGUCUUUUUAUCCGCUUUAAUGUGAUACGGACGUCGUUUUAAAUCCACUCUGCACCUGAUAACGGCCAUAUAAAUACCUGGACCAGAAGACACGGAUAACCAACCAACAACAACAACAACAACAACAACAACAACAACACCAACAACAACGCUCUGAAGGCAAAAGGCGUCAACACCGGACAACGCCCUCCUGACUCAGGAGAACCCUCCAGAACUCUACUGUCGCUCUGGCUCGCUCUGAGGCUAUGACAGGGAGAGAG
rnacentral:lncRNA from 1 species